UAAAGGAGGUGUUGCAAUUCACUUAGUACACACAGAAGGUUACACAUAGUAACCUUCUGACUAAUGAUAUCUACUUUCCUCUUCUGAUAAAAGGGGGACACACGAGAAAACAGGAACUCACUAGGUGGCUAAAAGGAGGAAAUGCAGAGGGAGACCUUCCUGGGGAGAAAAGAACAGCAAAAGGAUGAUAAAAACAACCUUUAUCAACGUCAGCCAAUUUUGCCAAACCUACAGCUCUGUGAUCGUGCACCACUUCUAUGGGACUCAAUUUCUGAGUAUCUAAGAGACUGAGGACAGGAACAGCCACCUUAUGGAGGUUCUGUGAAGAUACACUGACGUCGGUCCACAAGUGUGAAAGUUACACGUCCCGGUUACAAAACCUGCC